CGACCGGCGCACGGGUGAGUAACGCGUAUGCAACCUGCCUGAUACCGGGGUAUAGCCCAUGGAAACGUGGAUUAACACCCCAUAGUACUUUUAUCCUGCAUGGGAUGUGAGUUAAAUGUUCAAGGUAUCGGAUGGGCAUGCGCCCUAUUAGUUAGUUGGCGGGGUAACAGCCCACCAAGACGAUGAUAGGUAGGGGUUCUGAGAGGAAGGUCCCCCACAUUGGAACUGAGACACGGUCCAA
rnacentral:rRNA from 1 species